GAUGAACGCUGGCGGCGUGCCUAAUACAUGCAAGUCGAGCGAACAGAUGAGAAGCUUGCUUCUCUGAUGUUAGCGGCGGACGGGUGAGUAACACGUGGGUAACCUACCUAUAAGACUGGGAUAACUCCGGGAAACCGGGGCUAAUACCGGAUAAUAUUUUGAACCGCAUGGUUCAAUAGUGAAAGACGGUUUCGUCUGUCACUUAUAGAUGGACCCGCGCCGUAUUAGCUAGGUGGUAAGGUAACGGCUUACCAAGGCGACGAUACGUAGCCGGCCUGAGAGGGUGAUCGGCCACACUGGAACUGAGACACGGGCCAGACGCCUAAGGGAGGGAGCAGUAGGGGAUCUUCCGCAAUGGGCGAAAGCCUUAAGGAGCAACGCCGGGUGAGUGAUGAAGGUCUUCGGAUCGUAAAAAUCUGUUGUUAGGGAAGAACAAAUUUGUUAGUAACUGAACAAGUCUUGACGGUACCUAACCAGAAAGCCACGGCUAACUACGUGCCAGCAGCCGCGGUAA
rnacentral:rRNA from 1 species